UUGCUGUGAUGAUACCCUAAAAUGUGGUUUCAACUGACUGACAUUUGAAUGAGGACAUGGAUGUUCCUUGGCUGUGUCUGAGCAC
rnacentral:snoRNA from 1 species